UACGAAGGGUGCAAGCGUUAAUCGGAAUUACUGGGCGUAAAGCGUGCGUAGGCGGUGAGUUAAGUCUGUCGUGAAAUCCCCGGGCUCAACCUGGGAAUGGCGAUGGAUACUGGCUCGCUAGAGUGUGAUAGAGGAUGGCGGAAUUCCCGGUGUAGCGGUGAAAUGCGUAGAGAUCGGGAGGAACAUCAGUGGCGAAGGCGGCCAUCUGGAUCAACACUGACGCUGAGGAGCGAAAGCCAGGGGAGCAAACGGG
rnacentral:rRNA from 1 species